UGCCCGAUCGUCUAAGGGCAGGACGCCUGGUUCUGGCCCAGGUAAUGGUGGUUCGAAUCCAUCUCGGGCAGCCA
rnacentral:tRNA from 1 species